AUCCAGCUGACGAGUGCCAAACACGACGAAAUGCGCAUCAGACUGGAU
rnacentral:hammerhead_ribozyme from 1 species